UACGUAGGGUGCGAGCGUUAAUCGGAAUUACUGGGCGUAAAGCGUGCGCAGGCGGCUAUGCAAGACAGAUGUGAAAUCCCCGGGCUCAACCUGGGAACUGCAUUUGUGACUGCAUGGCUAGAGUACGGUAGAGGGGAUGGAAUUCCGCGUGUAGCAGUGAAAUGCGUAGAUAUGCGGAGGAACACCGAUGGCGAAGGCAAUCCCCUGGACCUGUACUGACGCUCAUGCACGAAAGCCAGGGGAGCAAACGGG
rnacentral:rRNA from 1 species